AUACGUAGGUGGCAAGCGUUGUCCGGAAUUACUGGGUGUAAAGGGAGCGCAGGCGGGCGUGCAAGUCAGCUGUGAAAUCCAUGGGCUUAACCCGGGGGGUGCAUCUGAUACUGGCCGGCUUGAGGGCAGGAGAGGAAAGCGGAAUUCCUAGUGUAGCGGUGAAGUGCGUAGAUAUUAGGAGGAACACCAGGGGCGAAGGCGGCUUUCUGGACUGUAACUGACGCUGAGGCACGAAAGCGUGGGGAGCAAACAGGAUUAGAUACCCUGGUAGUCCACGCCGUAAACGAUGGAUACUAGGUGUAGGGGUCAAAAGACUUCUGUGCCGCAGCAAACGCAUUAAGUAUCCCGCCUGGGGAGUACGGCCGCAAGGCUGAAACUCAAAUGAAUUGACGGGG
rnacentral:rRNA from 1 species